rnacentral:lncRNA from 1 species
CGCGUAUGAACAAGAGUUUAUAAGCUUAUCCUGACGUGGAACAGGGGUCUCUUUCUCUCGUUACCUGUGUGGCUUCACGGAGAGGGACGAAGAACAGAAAGCCUCGAGGUGAGAUGAGAAGCUACACUAAAUGGACACAGAACCAAAGUUUCCGCAGAUAAAAAGGACUAGAUUGAGUUCAGCAGCAGAACAGAACUUACUUGCACACUGUUCUGCAACCUCCUAGGAACGGUCCUGUUUCUCUUCCACCCCUCUCACAACAAUCAGAUAGCUUACAUCCUUGGAAAAACAUGAUCAUAAGUUCCUCCCAUCAAAUCAAGGAUGUUCCAGUAUGCUGUGGCAAUCCUCCAAUGAACCCAGUUCUCACUAUAAGCUAACUACAACCACAUGAGCAAAGAAGAGAAACUGUCGAGGAUAAAUCAUCUACAGGACAGGCAGCUUUAGUCGUACAAUACCAAAUUUUAUUAACUGAAGCACUGAGAAGUCACAAUAUCCAGUAGCAAGACUGAGCAAUAAAAAAUGCUCGAGGAAAAACGAAAGCAAUUCACAGCUGACACCACGGAAACACAGAGAGGAACCGUGGACAUAAGCUAACAUUUU